AUCAAACCUUAGUCAGAUUGAAGGCUUGGUGGUGCAACUGGGUCAAACCGCAUGAACAAUUAUAUUGCAGGUUCUCUUCAUGUCACAUUGACUUUUAGCCACUGCAUGACAAGCCAUUCAAGCAAUAAGCUGCUGUCAACUAAUUUCCGAUUGACGGUGAGGAGCUAUCUGAGAGAAUCUGAGUCAAUCCAAGUGAUCAAGACAAAAUCCACUGCGCAAGCAGACAGGAGAAGGAACAUCCCCACACCUGGGAGCCUUCUCCUCUCUUUGUUUCCCCCCUCUUGAGUCCCUGAGAGCUUGGGAGUCAUGGCAGCUCUCUCACUCUUCCUCUCCUCCAGUAUCCCCACCGGCACCCAGUCCCACAGCUACAGUUAGAGAGAGAAGCAUCUGAGGCCUUGACUGUGAUAGGGUUUGCCAAGCCUGUGUUAGCUUAGCUUCUACAUGGCCUCCCCCCACUCAUCAUCAUCUCUCUCUGUAAAUGGAAUUGGUGGUAUAGAUCCUUACAGGAAGUGGAAGAGCUUUAUAGAUUUGACUUUUUGAUCACUGUGAGAGAAGCAAUGAGCUUUCUAAUCCUCUUUCUACUUGGUCUUGCAUCCUUAAAGAAGAAGAAGAAGAAGAAGAAGAAGAAGAAGAAGAAGAAGAAGAAGUGGCCAUGGCGCAAGGAUCACAGGAUUCGAAGGUAUGAUGAUCACCUUAACUCUCAUCUACUGUUGGUAAUCGAAUGUCUUGUUGUUGCUUUCUUACUUCUGAACAAUAAUGACCUGAGAAUGUUCAAGCAUUUAUCUCACAGUUUUGGCUGAUAUUAGUUUGUUUGAAGUUUUACUAUUUCAUAAUAAUAUAGAGGAUUUCAUGGAUUCA